rnacentral:rRNA from 1 species
UACGAAGGUGGCAAGCGUUGUUCGGAUUUACUGGGCGUACAGGGAGCGUAGGCGGUUGGAUAAGCCCUCCGUGAAAUCUCCAGGCUUAACCUGGAAAGUGCAGAGGGGACUGUUCAGCUAGAGGAUGGGAGAGGAGCGCGGAAUUCCCGGUGUAGCGGUGAAAUGCGUAGAGAUCGGGAGGAAGGCCGGUGGCGAAGGCGGCGCUCUGGAACAUUUCUGACGCUGAGGCUCGAAAGCGUGGGGAACAAACAGG